GAUGAACGCUGGCGGCGUGCCUAAUACAUGCAAGUCGAGCGAAUGGAUUGAGAGCUUGCUCUCAAGAAGUUAGCGGCGGACGGGUGAGUAACACGUGGGCAACCUGCCCAUAAGACUGGGAUAACUCCGGGAAACCGGGGCUAAUACCGGAUAACAUUUUGAACCGCAUGGUUCGAAAUUGAAAGGCGGCUUCGGCUGUCACUUAUGGAUGGACCCGCGUCGCAUUAGCUAGUCGGUGAGGUAACGGCUCACCAAGGCAACGAUGCGUAGCCGACCUGAGAGGGUGAUCGGCCACACUGGGACUGAGACACGGCCCAGACUCCUACGGGAGGCAGCAGUAGGGAAUCUUCCGCAAUGGACGAAAGUCUGACGGAGCAACGCCGCGUGAGUGAUGAGGGCUUUCGGGUCGUAAAACUCUGUUGUUAGGGAAGAACAAGUGCUAGUUGAAUAAGCUGGCACCUUGACGGUACCUAACCAGAAAGCCACGGCUAACUACGUGCCAGCAGCCGCCGUAACAC
rnacentral:rRNA from 1 species